AAGGGGGAAAAAAAGAAGAAAAAAAAGAACAGAUUCUGGCCUUCGCUGAGUGAUCCUGAUGCAAGGGGUCUGGGAUGCAGCCCAGGAACGUGCAGUUUUACAAGCACUCCAGGAUUACAGGUGUGUGAGCCAUGGUGCACAGCCGCCCAGGUGUUUUUGGUGGAGGUGGCUCAAGUCCCCACCAGAGACACACUGGUUUAGAGCCUGCUCAGGAGGAACAAAGACGUUGAAGCUGCAGCAGGUAAGUGCAGGGCGUUCCCUUCUCUUAUAUUCUGUUCUGAAGA
rnacentral:lncRNA from 10 species